UACGUAGGGACCGAGCGUUGUCCGGAUUCAUUGGGCGUAAAGAGCUCGUAGGCGGCCACUCAAGUCGAAUGUGAAACCUCGAGGCUUAACCUCGAGCCUGCAUUCGAUACUGGGCGGCUAGAGUCUGGUAGGGGGAUCUGGAAUUCCUGGUGUAGCGGUGGAAUGCGCAGAUAUCAGGAGGAACACCCGUGGCGAAGGCGGAUCUCUGGGCCAUUACUGACGCUGAGGAGCGAAAGCGUGGGGAGCGAACAGG
rnacentral:rRNA from 1 species